GCGAGUGUAGUACAACGCUAGUUUCACAGCUUUCCAAGCUGAUGACGACGGUUCGACUCCCUUCACCCGCUCUA
rnacentral:tRNA from 1 species